AACUUAUCAACCGUGACUUGGGUUUAGGCCCCUGGCUCGGCUUGGAUUUGGGUGCUUGCGGUCCUCGGGCCGCUCACCUCAAAAGGAUUAGCUGGACAUGUCGUGAGACUUGGUUCUACUUGGCGUAAUAAGUAUUUCGCUGAGGACAUCCCCUCGUGGGGUGGCCAUGCCUCUGGUGCAAAGGUCUGCUUUCUAACCCGAUCGUCCUCGGACAUCAACUCUUUUAUG
rnacentral:misc_RNA from 1 species